UACAGAGGUGGCAAGCGUUGUUCGGAAUUACUGGGCGUAAAGGGCGCGUAGGCGGCCUACUAAGUCAAACGUGAAAUCCCCCGGCUUAACCUGGGAACUGCGUCUGAUACUGGAAGGCUUGAGGAUGGGAGAGGGAUGUAGAAUUCCAGGUGUAGCGGUGGAAUGCGCAGAUAUCAGGAGGAACACCGGUGGCGAAGGCGGGAUCCUGGGCCAGUACUGACGCUGAGGAGCGAAAGCGUGGGGAGCGAACAGG
rnacentral:rRNA from 1 species